rnacentral:rRNA from 1 species
CCUACGGGAGGCAGCAGUGAGGAAUAUUGGUCAAUGGGCGCGAGCCUGAACCAGCCAAGUAGCGUGAAGGAUGACUGCCCUACGGGUUGUAAACUUCUUUUAUAAAGGAAUAAAGUGAGGCAAGUGGGCGUUUUUGUAUGUACGUUAUGAAUAAGGAUCGGCUAACUCCGUGCCAGCAGCCGCGGUAAGACGGAGGAUCCGAGCGUUAUCCGGAUUUAUUGGGUUUAAAGGGAGCGUAGAUGUGUUGUUAAGUCAGUUGUGAAAGUUUGCGGCUCAACCGUAAAAUGGCAAUUGAUACUGGCAGUCUUGAGUACAGUUGAGGUAGGCGGACUUCGUGUUGUAGCUG